rnacentral:rRNA from 1 species
UGGUGGAGCGAUUUGUCUGGUCAAUUCCGAUAACGAACGAGACUCUAGCCUACUAAAUAGUUCGGGGACCCCCACAAAGGGGCCCCGCUUCAACUUCUUAGAGGGACAGGUGGCGUUUCGCCACACGAGAUUGAGCAAUAACA